GAUGAACGCUGGCGGCGUGCCUAACACAUGCAAGUCGAGCGAACCUUUCGGGGUGAGCGGCGGACGGGUGAGUAACGCGUGGGUAACCUGCCCUGUACACACGGAUAACAUACCGAAAGGUAUGCUAAUACGGGAUAACAUAUGAGAGUCGCAUGGCUUUCAUAUCAAAGCUCCGGCGGUACAGGAUGGACCCGCGUCUGAUUGGCUAGUUGGUAAGGUAACGGCUUACCAAGGCAACGAUCAGUAGCCGACCUGAGAGGGUGAUCGGCCACAGUGGAACUGAGACACGGUCCAAACUCCUACGGGAGGCAGCAGUGGGGAAUAUUGCACAAUGGGCGAAAGCUUGAUGCAGCAACGCCGCGUGAGCGAUGAAGGCCUUCGGGUCGUAAAGCUCUGUCCUCAAGGAAGAUAAUGACGGUACUUGAGGAGGAAGCCCCGGCUAACUACGUGCCAGCAGCCGCAGUAA
rnacentral:rRNA from 1 species